UACGUAGGGUGCAAGCGUUGUCCGGAAUUAUUGGGCGUAAAGAGCUCGUAGGCGGCUGGUUGCGUCUGCUGUGAAAUCCCGGGGCUUAACCCCGGGCGUGCAGUGGAUACGGGCCGGCUGGAGGCAGGCAGGGGAGAAUGGAAUUCCCGGUGUAGCGGUGAAAUGCGCAGAUAUCGGGAGGAACACCGGUGGCGAAGGCGGUUCUCUGGGCCUGUACUGACGCUGAGGAGCGAAAGCGUGGGGAGCGAACAGG
rnacentral:rRNA from 1 species